GAUGAACGCUGGCGGCGUGCCUAACACAUGCAAGUCGAGCGGUAUAUAUUGGAAUGAAACUUCGGUCGAGUGAAGAUAUAGAGAGCGGCGGACGGGUGAGUAACGCGUAGGCAACCUGCCCCAUACAGAGGGAUAGCCUCGGGAAACCGGGAUUAAAACCUCAUAACGCGAAAGAGUCACAUGGCUUUUUCGCCAAAGAUUUAUCGGUAUGGGAUGGGCCUGCGUCUGAUUAGCUAGUUGGUGGGGUAACGGCCUACCAAGGCGACAAUCAGUAGCCGACCUGCGAGGGUAAUCGGCCACAUUGGAACUGAGACACGGUCCAAACUCCUACGGGAGGCAGCAGUGGGGAAUAUUGCACAAUGGGCGAAAGCCUGAUGCAGCAACGCCGCGUGAGCGAUGAAGGCCUUUGGGUCGUAAAGCUCUGUCCUUGGGGAAGAAAAAAAUGACGGUACCCUUGGAGGAAGCCCCGGCUAACUACGUGCCAGCCGCCGCGGUAAAAC
rnacentral:rRNA from 1 species